rnacentral:lncRNA from 1 species
UGCAUUUUGACAAUUUUUGAUAGAAAAAAUGGAGCAAAGAAUGAAAAAAAAACAUUUAACUUAAACAAUUAGUAAAUAAGUUAACAUAUCAAAUACUUGCUACCAUUCUGUGGUGCCUGAGAUCACCCUUUUUUUUUUUGGUUGGUGCUUGGUGUCUGAGAUCAUUCCUGGUCUUUGGUAAGGUUGGUGUGUUGUGCCUGAAAUCAUCCCUGGUCUUUGGAAAGGUUGGUGCUUGGUGCCUGAGAUCAUCCCUGGCUCUUUAGUUUGGUUGGUGCAUGGUGCCUGAAAACCUCUUAGGUCUUUGGUUGGGUUGGUGCUCUUUGCCCUAGUUCAUGCCUGUUCUUUGUUUUGGUUGGUGCUCGGUGCUGGAGAUCAUCCCUGGUCUUUGGUUGGAUUGGUGCUUGGUGCCUGAGAACCUCUCAGGUCUUUGGUUGGGUUGUUGCUGUACAAUAUUUUGUUAUCAGUGUAGACAAUUUUCUGUCAUUUCUUUUGGUUAUGUGUUGUCUUGUCUUUUUUCACCACAUGGUUUAAUAUUGGCCCUUUGGUAUAUUCCUUUUUUGUGUAUCUCUUGUUUAUCAUUGUACCCGACUGUUUGAAUUUUUAGGAUAAUUGUAGAAAUACUAUUAGCGAUAUGCUAUUCCUAGAUGUUCCAGGACAUGAAUAACUUCUUGAUUACACUGUGUGUGCUGCUUCAUUGAAAAAAGGUGAAAAUUAAGAUGUCUGGUGUGUUAAAUUUUGUGAGGUAGGAUAUUUCUUGUGUUCCUUCUCAAAUUUGUACACCAGUUAAUACUUCUGAUUGAUUUUUUCUGUGUGUUUUAUCUCAUUGACAAAAAUACACAAAAAGACAGAAAUAAUAAAUACCGUAUACCUAUACAUCUUUGUAAGAACUCUGAAAUGGAUAUAAAUAAGAAAGAUUAGUAAUUUAUCACUUCCAUCAAAGAAAUGGACAUACAGAAAUCUAUAUGCCACUUUUCUUCAUCUGUUACAACAUACUCCAUACUCUAUGACUGAGGUUGCAUCUAAAACAAAAACAAAUUUGUAAAUUAUUAGUGUUGGAGAACGUUGGUGUCACUUCCAUCAAAUGGGUCCAUGACUGAAACAUCCUCUCGGCUGCAUCUGUAAAAAAAAAUCUGUAGUGUUUUGGAGAACGUUGGUGUCACUUUCAUCAAACGGGCCCUUUAACAAGCUCAUGGUAGAGUGAUCUUGUUACUAUUGUAUAGUGCUGCGGAAACUAUGCGCUACCCUCCCUGGUCUAGUACAACGGAGUCUAUUCAAGGUCUAUGACUGUAACAUCCCCCUGCUGCAAUCUGCAAAAAUCAAAAUUUUAGAAUUAAACAUCUGUUGGUGAACUCUGAAAUGAAACAUAAAUAAAUUUACAACAUUACACAUAUAUAAGAAUUAAAUCAAUUAAACUUUAUUUUCUUUUCUUUGAGGUAAAUUUCGAAAAAUUAAAUAUAUGUUUUUUUUAAAUUAACUUUUUUUACUUUAUUUUUAGUGUAGCUCUUGUUGAUCAUUAUACCGGACUGUUUACUUUUAGAGAUAUUCUAUUUCUAGAUGUUCAAGGACAUGCAUACAUUCUUGAUUACACUGUGUGUGCUGCUUCAAUGAAAAAAGGUGAAAAUAAGAUGUCGUGUUAAAUUUUGUGAGGUAGGAUAUUUUUUGUGUUCCAGGGUGUUCUGUCUCAAAUUACACCAGUUUUAAAAUACUUCUGAUUGAUUUGUUCUGUAUGUUUUCUCUCAUUGACAAAAACACACAAAAAGACAAAAAUAAUAAAUAUUGUAUACCUAUAUACAUCUUUGUAAGAACUCUGAAAUG